AGGUAAACUGCUACACUUUCACUCCCUGGAUCUUGUCACCAGUGUCUUUGGGGUCAAAGCAUGUUACUGGUUGAAGUCAGUUUCUUUCAAAACUGCAAAGUUAAGACCUGUUUAACAAUUGUACAGAAAAGGAAACGUUUAAUUGGCACCACUUGGGAAACAAGGACAGGGAAUAGAACUAAUUGCAUUGUUUCCCUCUAAGGAUCUAAAAUACUCCAGCAAGUAGGGAGACGUUGCCUGUGGACCAGAGCAAGGUCGGAGAACAGAGCAAGUGCAUUGCUACCUGGAACUAGCUGCUGGGAUCGGGUGAGAUGGCGGACGCUUCCUUCCCACAAGGAUACUGUACAUUUUUAAAGAGUGGUGAUCAGGACUGUGGGGAACUCUUUGUGUAGGGCUGGAUUUUGUGUUGUGUUUACACAGGUAUCAAAAUAUAAACUUUGUUUUCAAAGUGACUUUGUGAUUUGUUUACACACCAUGCACCACCCAGGGACAACAUCCUUCCUUGGCAUUAUCAUUUUUUAAGAGGUAAGAUAUAUUAACCAUGGGACAGCUGAUUUUAUGUCAGAAGUCACUUUUUACCUCACUUUUAUGUAUCCAAGAUAUCAUCUGACUAAUAAAUGUAAUUAGUUAAUGUACUGCAUGCCAUAUAUUUUAAUCAUAUUUGUUUAACAGACAAUGAGAUGCAUUCAAUUAAUAUAAACAGAAGCAGAAAGUUACAAAAAACAAUCUUUCUAACAGUGCAUGUGUGCCUUUUUAAUUAAUGAUUUAAACAUCAGCAGUAUUUUUAUACUAAUUCAUUUAGAUCAGUUGAGUAGGACCAAACAUAUUUAAAAGGCUGUAUGGUAUAAUUUUCCAUUUUCUGCAAUGUAGGACAGCAGUGUGGAGUAGUGGUUAGGGCUCUGGACUCUUGACUGGUGGGUUGUGGGUUCAAUCCCAGGUGGAGGGCACUGCUGCUCUACCCUUGAACAAGGUACUUUACCUAGAUUGCUCCAGUAAAAACCCAACUGUAUAAAUGGGUAAUUGUAUGUAAAAAUAAUGUGAUAUCUUGUAACAAUUGUAAGUCGCCCUGCA